rnacentral:tRNA from 1 species
AUCUUUCUAGUAUCUAACAUUAGUACAAGUGACUUCCAAUCACUCAGUCUUGGUUAAAACCCAAGGAAAGAUA